AUCAAGUGCCAUACAAUUUUGUCCCAUAUAAAAGGUACUGUGGGAGGAGAGAAGGUGGCCUUCCAUAUAAUCCAGAUUCUCCUCUAACUCGCAAUCGAUGUGGAACUAAAGAUACCGUUCUUCCAUAAUAAGCAUAAUAUUAUCACUAAGGAGGCUAUUGCGUGAGGUAGGAGAGGAUGUCACAAUGGAGGAUAAGAGGUGUGGAUUAGGAAACCAAAUGAUUAGCACCCAUAUUUGUAAUCCGGGAGG
rnacentral:lncRNA from 1 species